AUUGAACGCUGGCGGCAGGCCUAACACAUGCAAGUCGAACGGUAACAGGAAGAAGCUUGCUUCUUUCCGGUGGCGUGGCGGGGGGGUGUGUAAUGUCUGUGAGACUCCACUAUGGCGGGGGGGAACUCGUGGAAACGGUAACUCUAACAGCGUAUAGUCGCAACAGCAAAAAGCAGGAGCUUCGGGCCUCUUGCGAGCGGGUAUGACCAGAUGGCGUUAGCUAGUAGGCGGGGUAAAGGCUCACCAAGGCGACGAUCCCUAGCUGGUCUGAGAGGAUGACCAGCCACACUGGAACUGAGACACGGUCCAGACUCCUACGGGAGGCAGCAGUGGGGAAUAUUGGACAAAGGGCGCAAGCCUGAUGCAGCCAUGCCGCGUGUGUGAAGAAGGCCUUCGGGUUGUAAAGCACUUUUAUCGGGGAAGAAGAGAGGAAAGUUAAUACCCUUCUGUAUUGACGUUACCCAAAGAAGAAGCACCGGCUAACUCCGUG
rnacentral:rRNA from 1 species